AAAACCAUUUCAGGCAAUUCUGAACAUUAUACUAUAGUAUGUGUAUUAGAACACUCUGUGAGGUCAUUCUAAACAUACUAUCGUAUGUGUAUUUGUAAACCAUUUCAGGUCAUUCUAAACAUUAUACUAUAGUAUGUGUAUUUUAAAACUUUCUGGUCAUUCUAAACGUUUUACUAUAGUAUGUGUAUUUUAAAACUAUUUGUGGUCAUUCUAAACAUUAUUCUAUAGUAUGUGUAUUUAAAUUCUUUUUGAAGUUAUUCUAAACAUACUGUAAUAUCCUGGGAUAGGAGACAGAGUUGAGUUGCCAUAGCGACGUUACAUUCCACAUAUCUUCUGAGGGGGGAGUUUUUGUUGUAGCCUUGCAGACUCAAGGGCGCCAAGUUCCGAUUAGAAAUUGUUUUGGGGCCAGACAGAGAUAUUUUCGUCUCUGUCUUACACUUUGUUGGUCCUCAACCUCUCAAAUUCCCAAUAAUGGACAUUAAACUAUCCCAAUCCGUGCUGAUUUGUUCACUCUAUCCUUCAUGGCAUCCAUCUUCUGUGCCAAUGAAUGAAUCUCGGCCAAAGUUCCCAGCUUAUGAUUCAUCUCGACAAUUAUGUGAGUCUCUGAAUUUACAGCACGGUGCAAGCCAUCUCUGAGUUCGGGAAUCAGGCCAUUAUUCCUCUACAGCUCGUUAAUUUUCCGGGAAGACAGGAAGCCUCCAAGGCCGAUCGGUAGUAAACCCAACACCAACACCACGAAUAUCCACACAUCUUCAGAGUCCUCCACAUACAGCCGGUCUGUCCCGGAGGGGCAUCCGACAGCCCCUUCUCCCGUUCUCAUCGUUGAAAUAAAUUCAUCAACCGCGUUGAGUGACCAACUGAUGAGAUCCAUUUAAGUGAAUUUCAGUUUCCAGAAAAAAUGCAGAAGCAGCCGUGCACCCAGCACACCCAGACAGACAAAGGCCUUGAGGAUAAGACAUGGAGGAGAGAAGAAAAGCGUCUGCACCCUCCAAGAGCCAGAAGAAGAGAAUUUCAGAUGAAAAAUGAAUUUCAACUUCAAGUGCAAGUGCUAUUUUGCCAGUGGAAAUAUGAAACGCAGACCCAGCUAUAUGCAGCUUGCUGAAAUGAAAAACAUGCAGAUGCAACUUUUCAAUCUGCAACAGGAAGUCACAAAAGUCCAAGCCAUUGGAGAUGACUCCCAGAAGACAUCUUGGUUUCAAGCCAUCAGAAGAAGCGAUUGGGAUGAAGACAUAAUCAAAAAUGCAUCGAUCUGCAGUGAUCACUUCACAUGAAGUAAGCACAACUUGAUCUUAAAAGUAUCGCUGGUUAACACAGUUCAGGGUCGGUUUAACACACUUAGGAUACGGUUAACAAAGGAUAGGGUUUUGGUUGCAACCAAUGGCGUUAGCAUUAUACCAACGCCACAGCAGAGACUCUUCCCUUGUCUUUGACUAGGCAGCACCUCAGUCUUCAGAACCACUACAUUUUCAGUGUUGUAAUCAUGUAAUAGUCCUGAACAUGAUUGUCAAGCAGCUGUAGGCAUCCAGUGUUGUGUAGGACUUCAGGCCUCUCAGGAGCAGAGACUCGGUGUGUCGAUCAGGUAAGAGUGAAUAUGUGGCCAUUUCAGUUUGGGCCAUCUUGUCUCGCCGUUUCUCCACUCACCUGCAUGUAAUGCGUAGGGGUCUUUAAGUUGUUUCCCAUUCACUAAAGUUAACUUUGCUGCAUAAUCCUUCUGGUCACUUUGUGACAAACUGCUGUAGUAUGCUGAAUCAUCCAGCUAACAACAUACGGCAACUACAACACAAUGACCGCUGAAAACAACACUGUCUUAAAGGACCAGCGCACAUCCGAAGUGUUUGUUAACAAAUAAGGGGUCUACAUACAUGUAUGUAUAUAUAUAAAUUAGGGCCGGGAAAAUUUGUGUGUUAGUUAUCAAUGUUCAUUUUUUUAUUUUAACGUGUUAAAAGUAAAUGACGCAAUUAUUUUGACCAUCUCUCCAACCCGGAGCCACCGUUCUCCCAAAUUUCUCCAUAUUUCCCCCUGGACAAUAUUGCUAAACCAUCAUUUACUGAACCAGAAAAAUGUGCGCAACUUUAAGUUGACUAAGGACCUGGCUUACGCACAUUUUGGACAUGGAGAGCACCUGCAGUGCUGCUGCGGAGAAGGAUACAAUUAUGAAAUCCUGCAGCAUUAUCACUUGUACCGCUUCGUUUUCACACGGAACAAGACCCCCUUCACGCACACACAUGCACGUGUACACCCACGCGUGCACGCACACUCACACACACAUGCGCGCACACUCCCUCACACACACACACACACGUGCGCGUACACACACAAACACAGCCUGUAGCGCAGAAUAUGGACAGGGGGACAGACUGCGACAGAAUGUCAUGCGUCUGUGACAGUGUGCAUCCUGUCACUGUGACCCGAUUGAUGAUACGCCCUGGCCACUUGUACAGGAGGGAUCUCUGUUUGGCUGACUACUUAUUGCGUGUGACUUUCACCCGGAAGUCUGGGGAUCGAAUCCCGAUUGGACCAUUUUUUUUAUAUCUGCCACAGAUCUCUCUGUAGAAUUCACAACAUUGACGGCUUCAGCAACGCUGUGCCACCCUGUGGAUUUUCUCUUAUUUGUUUUGCAAAAGCACUUCCUUUCAUUUCUGCACCUCGCCCACAAGUACCUCAAUUUCUGCUUCUGUGAAAUUGCGCUUACUUGAUCUGCCUUGAUCUACGGUUGCCAUGUCAUUGGCGGAGCGCUGCAACAGCCGGCUUAUGUAAAUGCAUGAGAUCCACAAGGCACUUUGCAUUGACUAUUUAUGGCAGUAAGUGGACGUGGUGAGGGUGGGAUGUUACUAAAAUGCAGCUGAGAACAUUUCUAGAUAGUCUCUUAUUGAUGAAGCGGAGAUUCUGUGCAGUUGUGCGUACUCCAUGUUUGAUAGAUCACAAACCUGCUUGGCGUAAGUACAUUUUUUUUGCUGAGCUUAAGUACAGUGUUAGUAAGGAUUCUAUGCAAUGUUUGAUAAAUGAGACCCUUGAACCAUCAGGAUUGGGCAACAGCAGCAGGGAAAACCAUUUUACACAUUAAACCUCUAUCUCACUAGCUACCACAGGGCAAAAAUCUAUAAGAACGACAUAAACAUUAACAACAGCUUCACAGUGAAGCAACGACGUGGGAUUGUUUCACUGCUACAUUUUAAGCCUCUUUAGUUAGCUGUUGGCUUGUGUUUGUGCUCUGUUACUGAACAAACUCUUCCCUCUGCACUCUCAGAGUGGAAGUUCAGUACGUGGAGGUGUCAAGAACGGUAUGUGGGUAAAUGUCACUGCGAGCCUUCUGUUCCAGAUCUGACUAAGCGAACAGGGAAAAAACAUCCGUCAGUGUAUCCAUCACUUUGUCAGGUGCAGACAGACAGACAGACAGACAGACAUGGAGAAGAAGACAGGACUGUCGUUAAGUGGUUUGCCAUCGUUUCAAGCUGACAUGAGCAGCGUCCGUGUGAGAGCUUUGUUUUUCUUAAUGUUAAAUGAACCAAACGAGAACUCAGUUUCCACAUAAUUGGCUUCAGCCUCAUUCCAAAGUGGUCUGAGUUCACUUUACAGUAUCUCUUUCUUUUCUAGUGGGUGCAUUGUGGACUCGGUCACCCACUGGCUGCUGCAGACAUAGGGCAUGCUUUCUGAUUUUGGGUCUUUUGUCACACUCGAAUCAUGUGGGACAAACAGAGGGGAUGGAAGGGUUCUGAUGGUGUCUCUAAGUCAGGGCUGAGCUGAAACAAGAAACAAACGCUUCUUUUUUAAAAGAGAAAUAUUAAAAAAGUUAUUUGAUGCUGUCAGUUUGACCUAAAAAGCUCAUUAAUAUGGUCUGAAAUGGUCAUUAAUAUAUGAACAACCACACAGAACAGGUUCAACAGAGACCCUAGGCCGUCCAUCCAUCCAUCUGUACAUUGACUGAUUCAUUCACAUGUUCAUUCAUCUAUUUUCUACCACAUAUACAAGUUUGAGAUGCAGACAUCAGAAAUCCAGACAUAACUCUCCCAGCUCUUCUUGGUAUUCCUAGGUGUUCCCAGCCCACAGAGGACUAAGUGUCAAGAAGAGUAAUUAGAUCUUCUCAGGAUUGGAACAGCAGUAGCCUUCCUUCUCCAGAGCAUGGAUUUUUAUAUCAGGGGACACGACCCCAACGUGAGUCACUAAACACUGUUUGGGGUCUUGAGUUGAUUUCCUGAAAUCAAGUAAAAUUUGAAAACUUGACCCUUUUCCAAGAAAUGUAUGUAAAACUCAACAUAUUUGCCAAACAUAGACAGAAAAUGUGCAGUAGAGGAAGCUGUUGUUCUUCAUUUUGUUCUUUAUUAAGAUUGUUUUCGGGUUGCGUUCAACUAAAGAAAAACGAGAAAGAAAGAAAACGAUCUUUUAUAUAACAUCUCUUAAGAUAAAAAU